UUAAGUGAGAAAGCGUACAGGGCGGAUGCCUUGGCAAUCAGAGGCGAAGAAGGACGUGCUAAUCUGCGAAAAGCGUGGGUGAGUUGAUAAGAAGCGUUUAACCCACGAUGUCCGAAUGGGGAAACCCGAUAGGCGAAGAGCCUAUCAUUGCGAGGUGAAUAAAAUAGCCUCGUAAGGCGAACCGGGAGAACUGAAACAUCUAAGUACCCCGAGGAAAAGAAAUCAACCGAGAUUCUGUGAGUAGCGGCGAGCGAAAGCGGAGGAGCCAGUAAGUAAUAGCAGCAGAGAUAGAGGAAUUGUCUGGGAAGGCAAGCGACACAGGGUGAUAGCCCCGUACUUAAAAUCCAGGCUGUGGUACUAAGCUUACGAGAAGUAGGGCGGGACACGAGGAAUCCUGUCUGAAGAUGGGGGGACCAUCCUCCAAGGCUAAAUACUCCUGAUUGACCGAUAGUGAACCAGUACUGUGAAGGAAAGGCGAAAAGAACCCCGGUGAGGGGAGUGAAAUAGAACCUGAAACCCUGUACGUACAAGCAGUGGGAGCCCGCAAGGGUGACUGCGUACCUUUUGUAUAAUGGGUCAGCGACUUAUAUUUUGUAGCGAGGUUAACUGAAUAAGGGAGCCGAAGGGAAACCGAGUCUUAACUGGGCGUUGAGUUGCAAGGUAUAGACCCGAAACCCGGUGAUCUAGCCAUGGGCAGGUUGAAGGUUGGGUAACACUAACUGGAGGACCGAACCGACUAAUGUUGAAAAAUUAGCGGAUGACUUGUGGCUGGGGGUGAAAGGCCAAUCAAACCGGGAGAUAGCUGGUUCUCCCCGAAAUCUAUUUAGGUAGAGCCUUGUGUGAAUACCUUUGGGGGUAGAGCACUGUUUCGGCUAGGGGCCCAUCCUGGGUUACCAAACCGAUGCAAACUCCGAAUACCAAAGAGUAAUGCACAGGAGACACACGGCGGGUGCUAACGUCCGUCGUGGAGAGGGAAACAACCCAGACCGCCAGCUAAGGUCCCAAAAUCUAUAUUAAGUGGGAAACGAAGUGGGAAGGCUUAGACAGCUAGGAUGUUGGCUUAGAAGCAGCCACCAUUUAAAGAAAGCGUAAUAGCUCACUAGUCGAGUCGGCCUGCACGGAAGAUGUAACGGGGCUAAAAUAUAGUACCGAAGCUGCGGCAUCAGGCGUAUCACUAAUACGCCUUAACGAUUAACCACUUGCGAAGCAAGUGGGUAAAGCGAAAAACACGUUGAGUGUAAUGGCAAAGAAUCGAAGAGGGAUAUUAGUGAUACGUCUGUUGGGUAGGGGAGCGUUGUGUAAGCGGAAGAAGGUGGUUCGAGAGGAUUGCUGGACGUAUCACAAGUGCGAAUGCUGACAUAAGUAACGAUAAAACGGGUGAAAAACCCGUUCGCCGGAAGACCAAGGGUUCCUGUCCAACGUUAAUCGGGGCAGGGUGAGUCGGCCCUAAGGCGAGGCUGAAAAGCGUAGUCGAUGGGAAACGGGUUAAUAUUCCCGUACUUGGUAAAGUUGCGAUGUGGGGACGGAGAAGGUUAGGUUAUCGACCUGUUGGAAAUGGUCGUUUAAGUUGGUAGGUGGGUGAGUUAGGCAAAUCCGGCUCACCGUUAACACUGAGAGAUGAUGACGAGGCACUAAGGUGCUGAAGUAACUGAUACCACACUUCCAGGAAAAGCCACUAAGCUUCAGGCUUUACUAAACCGUACUGAAAACCGACACAGGUGGUCAGGUAGAGAAUACUCAGGUGCUUGAGAGAACUCGGGUGAAGGAACUAGGCAAAAUAGCACCGUAACUUCGGGAGAAGGUGCGCCGGCGUAGAUUGUAGUGACUUGCUCACGAAGGUUGAACCGGUCGAAGAUACCAGCUGGCUGCAACUGUUUAUUAAAAACACAGCACUCUGCAAACACGAAAGUGGACGUAUAGGGUGUGAUGCCUGCCCGGUGCUGGAAGGUUAAUUGAUGGUGUAAUCGAAAGAGAAGCUCCAGAUCGAAGCCCCAGUAAACGGCGGCCGUAACUAUAACGGUCCUAAGGUAGCGAAAUUCCUUGUCGGGUAAGUUCCGACCUGCACGAAUGGCAUAAUGAUGGCCAGGCUGUCUCCACCCGAGACUCAGUGAAAUUGAAAUCGCCGUGAAGAUGCGGUGUACCCGCGGCUAGACGGAAAGACCCCGUGAACCUUUACUAUAGCUUGACACUGAACCUUGAAUUUUGAUGUGUAGGAUAGGUGGGAGACUGUGAAGCGGUAACGCCAGUUGA
rnacentral:rRNA from 1 species